rnacentral:misc_RNA from 1 species
UUGUUGAGCCUUCACAUCUUGAAAUACAAGAAAGAACCUAAAGCUGAUGGGAAUGAGCAUGACAAUCUUAAGGAAUCUCUCCCAGGGAAUGAAGAGAUCAAGCAAUGGAGAUUUUAAUGGAAAUUGAAGAAAAUCAAGCUAAGGGAAUGUUACGAGUAAGGAGUAGAGCAAUAGGGGGUUAUUCCAGCAGUUAAUUAGGGAGAUUCUAUUGUACUAGUC